AAAAGAAUGGUCAAAAAUCUACAUCUAGUGUCUGAGCUGAUGUGAGCUGAAGCGUUCAACAAAGUUAUUGUUAAUGUUAAUAUAUUAUUGUUAUUAUUUAUUUUUGUAAUUUUUUGUCCAUUUCCUUACAGGUUUCUACCAUUCCCAACCCUCAUUUACCACAGACUGAGAUUUAUUUAUUAAUUUAGAUGAUUAUGUGUGUGAAAGAUUCAAAUUAUUUGCGUUAAAUGAUAUAAUUUUAGAAAAGACAUUUGUCUUUGCAGCAAGAUUCCUCAAGAACACAAUAAACUUGGUUUACUUAUUUAGUCAUACCUUAUUAUUAUUAUUAUUAUUUUUUUCAGUGCGAUCUGGCAACUCUGCACUGGUCUAGCAAUCCGCCAGCUGGAAUGUUUUGGAGUCUCCAAAAGCAGCAAUUCAGCCCUCAGAAAAAAGUAUAAAGAGAAAGUGAAUGAUCAUUUCAGACUUUACUUACAGUAACCAGAUGUCAGUCUUCUGCUCUAUCACCAUGGAAACCAACUCAUCCAUAAGUCUGGUCACUGUGGUGGUAUGUGCUCAAGGCUCUCUGGGCUUAAAGAAACACAGAAGCAAGAAAUCAGAAAGCGGGGGUGACUGGAUGCCCAGGAAUGAGGACAGCCUCUGGAAAACCUGCGGGAAAUGGAUGCACGGUUCCAUUAGCCUCUGCACGGACCCUAGACCCAAAGCAAUGACGGUCUAGAGCUGGAUAUGAUGACAGCAGUGGUAAAGCUGUGAUUGAGGGGCUCCUGCAGCUAAUGAUCCAAUGAAUUAUUAUUGCCGUGUGAUAGAACCCUUUAGGCCUAGAAUGUGAAAUGACCAUUUAACACUUCAGUAGUGAGGAAUUGAAUUGUAAAUGUCAUUUUAAAAUAGGUCAGAAUACUUUGAAAUCACUGCAUUGCAAAAAUAUUGUAUCUCUUUAUCUCCAAAUGUUGAUAUGUCAAAACAUCCUUUCAACAAAAUAAAUGUAUAUAAACUAGAUAAACUCAACUUUUAAUCAGACUUCAAUAGUGAGAAAUGUAAUUGUAUAUAUAAUUUUAAAACAGGUCAAAAUAUACUCAAAAGCACUGCAGAUUUUUUAUAUUUUUUUAUAUUGUAUAGUCUUUAUAAUGUUGAUAUGUUUAAACAUCCUUGAAAUAUGUUCCAAACAUAGGUUCAAGAGGAGCCUAAUCAUUCAGUUCUAUCAAUCAUCAUUACAAUCGUAUAUAAGCAGCAGUCAUUGCACCGUCCCAGCAUCCCUCCCUCUCCCCUUCUUCUCUUCUAUUUCUUUCAUGUCUCCUUCACAUCGUACAAUCAUAGCAGGGUUCUAACUCAGAGCUCAAGCCGAGCCUCGGGUUCAAGCCUCCUUUGAGGACAGCAAGCCAGUCGGUUUACCAUUAUCUAGCAGGACUUAAUGGGCAGGGGAACUUGUGAAAUAAAUUAACUUUUUAAACUUUUAGUCAAUCAAAACUUCACUAACUUGUGUUAGAUUUGUUUAAAAAAAAAUGCCAAUGGGGUAAGAACAUUGAAACUCUGUAUAAAAGUGUUGGACUAACGUGUUUGAAUGUUGUGUUUGCGUAUUUUUUGUAGUCUCUUGUGCAUGACACUUUCUAUAAAACAAGCAGCACUCAAGUUAAAAGUAGUUUAACUGCCCCUUAUACUACCAAAUAAAGUAAUUUCAAGGACAUGAAAAUCUGAAAAAUAAGAGUGAUUGGUUUCAGUUACCUGAAAGGGCAGUGUACAGCAUUGCCAUGGAUGACUGCGAAGUAUCUUACCACUGGAUACCACUAUCGACCAAUAAGAAUCAAAUAUAUUAGAAAGCGGCAUAAUAGCUUAGUUUUUAAAUAUUUUUUUUCCACUGGAAAACAAGAACAAAAACACUCCAUAAUUAGGAAAA
ensembl:lncRNA